ACUCAUACUUCUCUUCUCUCUCUCUCUCUCCAUGUACUCCCUUUCUCUGUAAGUUUUGGGAAGCUCCUCUACUCCCUCCGAUCAGCCACCGUGAUAACUCCGGCCACUCCACCACAAAGUAUAUAGCACACACUAACAAAUUCCAACCCUCAAUUCUCCCUACUUUCUCUCAAUUUUGGAGUCUAGGUUGCAAACCCACCUCCAUGUAACUUCCAAAAUUGUUGAAAUUAGAGAGUAUAGAAGCGAGUGAUCUCGCUUGUUGGGCAGCUGCACGUGUCAAGUCACUACCUCCCCUUUUUUUGCCGGUAAAGUUGGAGUUUCACGUGGAUGCUUAGGUUAAACUUUUGGUUGUAUAUAGUUGGUUUGAAGAUGUAAGGUUAUGUAAUCUUCUUUUGCUAGUGGGGUUGUAAAUAUUUAUCAAAACAGAUCAUCGUAGUAAAGUUUUGUUAGCAUGAUUAGCUAUUUAUAUAAUAGUGUUGUGCGUUGGGGGCUAUUUAAAAAAAAGUUAUGCAGGUUAAAUA